UACGGAGGAUCCGAGCGUUAUCCGGAUUUAUUGGGUUUAAAGGGAGCGUAGGUGGAUUGUUAAGUCAGUUGUGAAAGUUUGCGGCUCAACCGUAAAAUUGCAGUUGAAACUGGCAGUCUUGAGUACAGUAGAGGUGGGCGGAAUUCGUGGUGUAGCGGUGAAAUGCUUAGAUAUCACGCAGAACCCCGAUUGCGAAGGCAGCCUUCCGGCGCCCUACUGACGCUGAGGCACGAAAGUGCGGGGAUCGAACAGG
rnacentral:rRNA from 1 species